rnacentral:rRNA from 1 species
CGUGCAUGUCUCAGUACAAGCCACAUUAAGGUGAAACCGCGAAAGGCUCAUUAAAUCAGUUAUGGUUCCUUAGAUCGUACCCACAUUUACUUGGAUAACUGUGGUAAUUCUAGAGCUAAUACAUGCAAACAGAGUUCCGACCGGAGACGGGAGGAAUGCUUUUAUUAGAUCAAAACCAAUCGGCGGCGGGCCUCCGGGUCCGUUCGCCGCUCAACUUGGUGACUCUGAAUAACUUUCGGCUGAUCGCACGGUCUCGCACCGGCGACGCAUCUUUCAAAUGUCUGCCUUAUCAACUGUCGAUGGUAGGUUCUGCGCCUACCAUGGUCGUAACGGGUAACGGGGAAUCAGGGUUCGAUUCCGGAGAGGGAGCCUGAGAAACGGCUACCACAUCCAAGGAAGGCAGCAGGCGCGCAAAUUACCCACUCCCGGCACGGGGAGGUAGUGACGAAAAAUAACGAUACGGGACUCAUCCGAGGCCCCGUAAUCGGAAUGAGUACACUUUAAAUCCUUUAACGAGGAUCAAUUGGAGGGCAAGUCUGGUGCCAGCAGCCGCGGUAAUUCCAGCUCCAAUAGCGUAUAUUAAAGUUGUUGCGGUUAAAAAGCUCGUAGUUGAAUC